UCCCAGGUGGUCUAGUGGUUAGGAUUCGGCACUUUCACUGCCAUGUCCCAGGUUCAAUCCCUGGCUGGGGAA